rnacentral:rRNA from 1 species
GACGAACGCUGGCGGCGUGCUUAACACAUGCAAGUCGAACGGGCUCUGUCUGGCUGUGUGCUGGGUGGGGUUAGUGGCGAACGGGUGAGUAAUACGUGAGUAACCUGCCCUCUUCUUUGGGAUAAGCCUUGGAAACGGGGUCUAAUACUGGAUAUUCCUGUCUGGUCGCAUGGCUGGGUGGGGAAAGUUUUUUUCGGUGGGGGAUGGGCUCGCGGCCUAUCAGCUUGUUGGUGGGGUGAUGGCCUACCAAGGCGUCGACGGGUAGCCGGCCUGAGAGGGUGACCGGCCACACUGGGACUGAGAUACGGCCCAGACUCCUACGGGAGGCAGCAGUGGGGGAUAUGGCACAAUGGGCGCAAGCCUGAUGCAGCGACGCCGCGUGGGGGAUGACGGCUUUCGGGUUGUAAACCUCUUUCGUCGGGGGACAAGGCUCUGCUUGGUGGUGGGGUUGAGGGUACCCGGUGAAGAAGCGCCGGCUAACUACGUG